rnacentral:lncRNA from 1 species
GCGGCGGCGGCGGGGCGCGUGGCGGCGGCGCGCGGGCGCGAGCGGCGGGACUGCGGCGCCGCGGAAGGAGGACAAUAGCCUCCCCCUGCCGCAGGCCGCCGGCUCCCGCGGGAGGCCGGGGACCAUCUGGAGCCCGCGGCCCCGCGGGGCUCGGGGCGGGGCCCGAGUCGCCCCCUCCCCGCCCGGCGCCAUGGCAACCGCGGCCCCUCUCGGUUCUCCCCACAGCUUCCCGGUCCUGGGUUGUUGACCUUCCCCGGGGCCAACGCGGUGGCGGCUCCGCAGCCGGCUCCCGACCCCCACCGCCUUCCGUGUGGGUGUCCCCUUAACCCCCGCCUUCCGGUCCUCGCUAGCCAGCCCCGCGUCAGCCCUGGGCAGCCUGGGUACCCCCCACAGCUUACGCGGCUCGGUCUUAGUUUGGAUACCCCACCUUUGUCCUUCGCCUUUGGUCCAAAAUCCGUAUCCCCGGGAAGCGCAAUCCUUCUUUUAAUGUCACUCACCGCGGAGAUGUCUUCCCGAGAUGCGGCCUCUGUUUUCCUUUUCAAAUGUUCCUCUUUGGGCACCUCCAGGCCAUCUCCCUUAAGCAUUUCUCUCUGCCAUCCCCCCUGUCUCUAGUCCUCCUUCCGGCAGGUAGGCUGGCCCGCUUUCCCAAAGCAUCGCCAUGGUGCUCCUGGAGAUUCGCCUUCUCCCAAAUCAGAUUCUCGGAACAGUCAUCGCAGCGGCUUCUCAGCUCCUCUCAUUUAUCAACCAACAGAAUUCCGGCCUGUCUUAAAGGGGGUGGGGGCGGGGGUGGACAUUUCUAGGCCUGGCACAGGCUGGGUUUCUCCUUGGUUUAUUAGUGGCUGAGUGGUCCAAGGUCUAAGGUCAUUAACCAAGGUGAACAGCUCUCUGCUUAGGAGAGGAAGAAAUGUACCCGAGUUAUAACAAACGAAUGGGGUGGGUGCUGGCGGUGGGUGCUAAAAGUGCAUUAUGUCAUGUGACACUCCACCCCCACUCCAGCUCUGAGAAGUAGAUGCUGUUCUUCCAGACUAGAAAACUAAACUAGGCUCAGGGAUGAAGUGGUAAUAACAGGGUGGGCUUUGUUCAAAGCCAUUAGGUUCUAUCUGCCCCUGAAGAGAUGGGCUCAUUUCUAUACGGGACUGCCUGGAAUUGUCAAAGAAGGGCAAUUCAAAAAAUGUGCUUUCAGUGAAUUCUUGGGUUCAAGGUUUGGUGUAUAUGUGUGUGUGUUUGGGAGGGUUGUUUGUUUAUAAGCCAAGGGUCUCACUAAAUUGCUCAGGCUGGCCUUUUGUUCACUAUCUUCCUGCCUCUGGCAGUAGCUACCCUGACCAGGUGGGUUUAAGGUUACAUGAUGGCUUUUGGGGUAACUGAAUUUUAGGAUUUUGCUUCUUUCUUUAUUGCAUACUGAAAUAAAUAAUUGAACUACUUUCCAGAUAUGAUUUUGGCAAAGUAAAAUACCAUGUGUUAAAUGGACUUGAAAACAUUUGCAAGGUAAAACAAAAUCCUGCUACCACCCCUAACUAGUUGUCAUCUCAUCCACCAGGCAUUGGUUUUGCUAGUUUAUAAAAUGGGUUGGGAGACCAGUGGGGAGUUACAUUAAAAGGUCUCUCCCAGCUAUCCAUGCUGUGAUUCUACCACUCGAAUGGAACUCGGCUUUCUGGGGUGCACCUCAGGCUAUUUAUGAUGAUGAUGAUGAUUUUUUGACAGUCACUCCUUUAGGCAAUGGAAUCAAAAGAGCAAGGUCAUACUGUCCUCAGAGGUGUUAGUGUAUGUUGGAAGGUUCAGGAAGAAGUAGGCCAAGGUGUACAUAAUGGUCAUCAAGGAGGCUUGGACAGGAACUUUAAAGUUGAUGGGAUCAGAAUCAGCUGACCUGCUAAAGAACUGGAACCAUCAAACUGCUGCUGCUGUACUGAUUAUGGGAACUGAGGGUCCCAAGUCAGCUUAUUAGAUGGUGGCCCAAUUAUAAGUCAAAGAUCAUAGGCCUUAUUAGGUCUUAUCAUUAAUAUAACAAUAGCUUUUGUAGAAUAAUUUCCUACUUUCAGCGUUUCAUAAUCUUUCAAAAAGACUUUCUAGAAGGCGGGGAUAUAGCUCUGUGGUAGAACAUCUGUCUAGCAUGUACACAGCCCUGGGUUGACCCCAGUACCAUUAAAAAAAAAAAGCCUUUGUAAGGUAAGCAUUCUAAUUUUUAUUCUCAUUUUAUUAAUGAGUAAACUGAUUUUCAGACAUUUAAGUGAAUAUUCAAAUUCACAGAAUUACUAGUUUAUGAUUAAAAACUCAAAGGUUUUUUUUUAAGAGAGAAUAUAAUUUUUUUUUUUUUGUAGAUGGACAAAACACAAUGCCUUUAUUUUUACGUGGUGCUGAGAAUUGAACCCGGGUCCCACCGGUGCUAGGCGAGUGCUCUACUGCUGAGCCACAAUCCCAGCCCCAGAGGUUUUUUUGAUUCCUAGUAGGUUCAGAGGGGCAGUAUAGCAUAAUGAUUAAAAGCAUCAAUUUUGGAGUUAGGCUCCCUUAAAUUAAAAUCGAGUUUAUUUAUGUAACCUAGGACACAUACUUACCUUCCCUGGGAUUCAGUUUCCUCACCUGUAAAAUGUGGGAUCAAAUGAGUUAUUACAGGUGAAGUACUAGAACAGCACCCUGCACAUAGUAAGCACUCAAUCAGCAUCAGCCAUAUUUUACCAUUUUAUGACUUUACUGUUACCCAUUUUGGAAAGGAAGCGUGCUCAAUAAAGGGAACACUGAGAUCACUUGUCAGCUCUGCGACUGGGUUGCUUUGGAAACUUGUUAUUUUGCUCAAUAGUGAAUCAGUAUAGUCAACGGUGAAGAAAAUGUCUGCUUCCUUUUUACGUCAGUUGCAAAAGUGAGUGGAUGAUGUCCACUAAAUAUGCUGAGUUUCUCAGAUAAUCCAGAUUUGUUGCUUAGAUUCCCAAGAUUCAUGGAAAGAUCUUGGCUUCUGCCACCAAGCUCACAGAAUUAGCUGAGUUCACAGCUCUUGUUUGUGUGCCAUGGGAGAGGUGUCCCUCCUUCCAUCUGAGACUGCUUCUUCUGGCUCCUGCUCUAAGUUUUAUCCCCUCCCACGCUCUCAUGGCCCUCACACCUUCUGGUGAGUUCUCUCUGCUGGCUCCUUCCCAUCAGCAUUUAAACAUGUUCAAGUCUCUGCCUGCUGAAAAAAUAAGGAAUCCUUCCUUGCUGGGUGCAGUGGUGCAUGCCUUUUAUCCCAAUGAAUUAGGAGGCUAAGGCAGGAAAAUCGCAAGUUCCAGGCCAGCCUAGCAACUUAGCAAGGCCCUUAGCAAUUUACUGAGACUCUGUCUCAAAAUAAAAUUUUGAAAGGGCUGGUGUGCCUCUCUGGUAGAGGGGCUCUGGAUUCAAUCCCCAGUUCUGAAAAAACAAAAACAAAAAAACCUCGAUGGUAGCAUAUGUUACCCUUACCCUUUAUGUUCACAGUCUUCUUGAGUUAUUAGCACUCAUUGGCUCUGUCUCUUCUCUGUUCCAUCAAGCAUUCUUUCAAAAAACCAUAUAGCGGGCUGGGGAUGUGGCUCAAGCGGUGGUGCGCUCGCCUGGCAUGCGUGCGGCCCGGGUUCGAUUCUCAGCACCACAUACAAACAAAGAUGUUGUGUCCGCC